ensembl:lncRNA
GGUUGAACCAUUUGGAGCAGUUUCGGCUUCUUUUAGAGAGGAUUAGAGAAGAAGGGACUGUGUGAGGAGAAUUUCAGAGAUAGCAGUGAGACACAUGAAGCAGCAGAACCCAGACAGAAAGUAGAAGCUGAAGGGAGGCUUCUGAGGAAAGUCGGUGUUUUCAGAAAAAUCUCUUCCUGGGCUUUAUUUCUGUAUUCAUCUGUCACGCUGGCUGUGGAUUGUGUGGUUGACUGACUAACAGACUGCAAGUUAUGAUAACCCAACUACUGGAUUUGCAUCGGUUCUCCCGUAAUUAACAGGAGGCUAAACUGAAACACAAGGACUCCUGGCAGGGGUUUUGGCUUACUACUAAUCCAAAUCAAUCCGUGCCUUAUGCGCUGUGGCUUUAACCCCUUAAAACAAACAUUUGCUUUGCAUAGAGACACAGUUUUAACAAAACACUCUGAGCCGAUGUUGCUGACAAGGUUGUCCCAGGUAAUGGCAUUUAACUGUCAACCUCAGACCUACAUUUUCAAAUGUUAAGCUAAAAUCCAGAGCUGAGAAACCGAUCAGACUUUAUGUGAUCAGCCUCACUAUUUGGAUGCCAGCCGUCUCAGCUAGCAUGUUUGUGUUGGGAGCAUUUUCCAUGCAGCCAAGAACUGGUGCACAGAUGCCAACAAUCUGAGACAACUUUCAACACUAUCGAAGUCAGCUGUCACAACCACAGCGGCACACAAACACGCAUUCCUGUGUGUUUCCAUUCCAGUGAGUGUGUCCACAUGGAAAAAUAAAAGGGUGUGACUUCUCUGAGAUAUAAGGCUGCUACAGAGUUUGAACGAACACACUGCAGUGCAAUUUUAUUGAUGUCCUAAUGGACAUGUAAAUUGCUAACAGUGUUGUGCAGCACCAACAAUUGAUG